UCAUGAUUCGUCUGGGCAUC
rnacentral:miRNA from 1 species